GAUGAACGCUGGCGGCGUGCCUAACACAUGCAAGUCGAGCGAACGGACGAGAAGCUUGCUUUUCUAAUGUUAGCGGCGGACGGGUGAGUAACACGUGGAUAAUCUACCCAUAAGAUUGGGAUAACCUCGGGAAACCGGAGCUAAUACCGGAUAAUAUUUUGAACCGCAUGGUUCCAAAGUGAAAGACGCUCUUGCUGUCACUUAUAGAUGGAUCCGCGCUGCUUUAGCUGGUUGCUAAGGUAACGGCUUACCAAGGCAACGAUGCAUAGACGACCGGAGAGGGUGAUAGGCCACACGAGAACUGAGACGGGGUCAAGACGCCUACGGGAGGCAGCAGUAUGCUAUGUUCCGCAAUAGGCGGGAACCUGACGGAGCAACGCCACGUGUGUGAUGGAGGUCUUCGGAUCGUGAAACUCUGUUAUUGGGGAAGAACAUAUUUGUAAGUAGCUGUACAGAUCUUGACGGUACCUGCUCAAAAAGCCACGGCUAACUACGUG
rnacentral:rRNA from 1 species